CUAAGAGCGAAUGGUGGAUGCCUUGGUUGGUAGAGGCGAUGAAAGACGUGCUAGACUGCGAUAAGUCUCGGGGAGUUGUCAAGGAGCUUUGAUCCGGGAAUUUCUGAAUGGGGAAACCCAGUAUAUAGUGAUAUAUACUACCUAUAUGGAGCAAACGUGGGGAAUUGAAACAUCUUAGUACCCACAGGAAAAGAAAUCAAAUGAGAUUACGAAAGUAGCGGCGAGCGAAAUCGUAAAAGGGCAAACCACUAGUUUACUAGUGGGGUUGUAGGACUGUAACAUAGACUAAAAAGAGUUAAUAGAAUAAUCUGGAAAGUUUAAGCAUAGAGGGUGAUACUCCCGUAUAUGAAAACUCUUUUUUACUUAACAGUAUCCUGAGUAGGGCGAGGCACGUGAAACCUUGUCUGAAUCUGGGAAGACCACUUUCCAACCCUAAAUACUACUACCAAACCGAUAGUGAACAAGUACCGUGAGGGAAAGGUGAAAAGAACGGGGGUGACCCGAGUGAAAUAGAACCUGAAACCAUUUGCUUACAAUCAUUCAGAGCACGAUUCUUUAUGACGUGUGAUGGACUGCCUUUUGCAUAAUGAGCCUGCGAGUUGUGAUAUCUGGCAAGGUUAAGGAAAUCCGGAGCCGUAGCGAAAGCAAGUCUUAAUAGGGCGUUUAGUCAGAUAUUGCAGACCCGAAACGAAGUGAUCUAUCCAUGAGCAGGUUGAAACCGGUGUAAGAGCCGGCGGAGGACCGAACCCGCUGACGUUGAAAAGUCUUGGGAUGACUUGUGGAUAGGGGUGAAAGGCCAAUCAAACUUCGUGAUAGCUGGUUCUCUCCGAAAUAUAUUUAGGUAUAGCGUUAUGUAGUAAUUAGAGGGGGUAGAGCACUGAAUGGGCUAGGGCAUACACCAAUGUACCAAACCCUAUCAAACUCCGAAUACCUUUAAUGUAAUCAUAGCAGUCAGGCGGCGAGUGAUAAAAUCCGUCGUCAANNAAGUGGUAGGAGAGCGUUGUAUUUAGCGUUGAAGAUGUACCGGUAAGGAGCGUUGGAGCAAAUACAAGUGAGCAUGCAGGCAUGAGUAGCGUUAAAUCAGGUGAGAAUCCUGAUCGCCGAAAACCCAAGGUUUCCUACGCGAUGCUCGUCAUCGUAGGGUUAGUCGGGUCCUAAGCAAAGUCCGAAAGGGGUAUGCGAUGGAAAAUUGGUUAAUAUUCCAAUACCAAUUAUUAUGUGCGAUGGAAGGACGCUUAAAGUUAGUGGAGCUAACUGAUGGAAUAGUUAGUCUAAGGUCGUAGGUUGAGUUAUAGGCAAAUCCGUAACUCUUUAUCCGAAAGCUUAAAGGCUUACAAAGCUCUUCGGAGUAGCGUAAGAAUCCAUGAUACUAUAGAGCCAAGAAAAGUUUCUAAGUUUAGUAAUAAUUGCCCGUACCGUAAACCGACACAGGUGGGUGGGAUGAGUAUUCUAAGGCGCGUGGAAGAACUCUCUUUAAGGAACUCUGCAAAAUAGCACCGUAUCUUCGGUAUAAGGUGUGCCUACCAGGGUGCAAGCCCUAGAGGUUACAACAAAGAGUCCCUCCCGACUGUUUACCAAAAACACAGCACUCUGCUAACACGUAAGUGGAUGUAUAGGGUGUGACGCCUGCCCGGUGCUCGAAGGUUAAUUGAUGGAGUUAGCAUUAGCAAAGCUCUUGAUCGAAGCCCGAGUAAACGGCGGCCGUAACUAUAACGGUCCUAAGGUAGCGAAAUUCCUUGUCGGUUAAAUACCGACCUGCAUGAAUGGCGUAACGAGAUGGGAGCUGUCUCAAAGAGGGAUCCAGUGAAAUUGUAGUGGAGGUGAAAAUUCCUCCUACCCGCGGCAAGACGGAAAGACCCCGUGGACCUUUACUAUAGCUUGACACUGCUACUUGGAUAAAGAUGUGCAGGAUAGGUGGGAGAUUAUGAUCUAUAGAUGCUAGUCUAUAAGGAGUCGUCCUUGAGAUACCACUCUUCUUUAUUCGGGUAGCUAACUAGCCUAAGUUAUCCUUAGGUAGGACAAUGUCUGGUGGGUAGUUUGACUGGGGCGGUCGCCUCCCAAAUAAUAACGGAGGCUUACAAAGGUUGGUUCAAAACGGUUGGAAAUCGUUUGUAGAGUAUAAAGGCAAAAACCAGCUUAACUGCGACACCGACAAGUGGAGCAGAGACGAAAGUCGGUCUUAGUGAUCCGGUGGUUCUGUGUGGAAGGGCCAUCGCUCAAAGGAUAAAAGGUACCCCGGGGAUAACAGGCUGAUCUCCCCCAAGAGCUCACAUCGACGGGGAGGUUUGGCACCUCGAUGUCGGCUCAUCGCAUCCUGGGGCUGGAGCAGGUCCCAAGGGUAUGGCUGUUCGCCAUUUAAAGCGGUACGCGAGCUGGGUUCAGAACGUCGUGAGACAGUUCGGUCCCUAUCUGCCGUGGGCGUAAGAAGAUUGAGGAGAGUUGACCCUAGUACGAGAGGACCGGGUUGAACCAACCACUGGUGUAUAAGUUGUCCUGCCAAGGGCACCGCUUAGUAGCUAAGUUGGGAUGUGAUAAGAGCUGAAAGCAUCUAAGCUCGAAGCCAACUCCAAGAUUAAUCUUCUUUU
rnacentral:rRNA from 1 species